rnacentral:rRNA from 1 species
GGUUAAGCGACUAAGCGUACACGGUGGAUGCCCUGGCAGUCAGAGGCGAUGAAGGACGUGCUAAUCUGCGAAAAGCGCCGGCGAGGUGAUAUGAACCCUUGACCCGGCGAUGUCCGAAUGGGGAAACCCAGUGUGUUCCGACACACUAUCGUUAACUGAAUACAUAGGUUAACGAGGCGAACCGGGGGAACUGAAACAUCUAAGUACCCCGAGGAAAAGAAAUCAACCGAGAUUCCCCCAGUAGCGGCGAGCGAACGGGGAGCAGCCCGGAGUCUGAAUCAGCUUGUGUGUUAGUGGAACGGUCUGGAAAGUCCGACGGUACAGGGUGAUAGUCCCGUACACGAAAAUGCACAUGCUGUGAACUCGAAGAGUAGGGCGGGACACGUGGUAUCCUGUCUGAAUAUGGGGGGACCAUCCUCCAAGGCUAAAUACUCCUGACUGACCGAUAGUGAACCAGUACCGUGAGGGAAAGGCGAAAAGAACCCCGGCGAGGGGAGUGAAAAAGAACCUGAAACCGUGUACGUACAAGCAGUGGGAGCACCUUCGGGUGUGACUGCGUACCUUUUGUAUAAUGGGUCAGCGACUUAUAUUCUGUAGCAAGGUUAACCGUAUAGGGGAGCCGAAGGGAAACCGAGUCUUAACUGGGCGUUAAGUUGCAGGGUAUAGACCCGAAACCCGGUGAUCUAGCCAUGGGCAGGUUGAAGGUUGGGUAACACUAACUGGAGGACCGAACCGACUAAUGUUGAAAAAUUAGCGGAUGACCUGUGGCUGGGGGUGAAAGGCCAAUCAAACCGGGAGAUAGCUGGUUCUCCCCGAAAGCUAUUUAGGUAGCGCCUCGUGAAUUCAUCUUCGGGGGUAGAGCACUGUUUCGGCUAGGGGGCCAUCCCGGCUUACCAACCCGAUGCAAACUACGAAUACCGAAGAAUGUUAUCACGGGAGACACACGGCGGGUGCUAACGUCCGUCGUGAAGAGGGAAACAACCCAGACCGCCAGCUAAGGUCCCAAAGUCAUGGUUAAGUGGGAAACGAUGUGGGAAGGCACAGACAGCCAGGAUGUUGGCUUAGAAGCAGCCAUCAUUUAAAGAAAGCGUAAUAGCUCACUGGUCGAGUCGGCCUGCGCGGAAGAUGUAACGGGGCUAAACCAUGCACCGAAGCUGCGGCAGCGACACUUAUGUGUUGUUGGGUAGGGGAGCGUUCUGUAAGCCGUUGAAGGUGUGCUGUGAGGCAUGCUGGAGGUAUCAGAAGUGCGAAUGCUGACAUAAGUAACGAUAAAGCGGGUGAAAAGCCCGCUCGCCGGAAGACCAAGGGUUCCUGUCCAACGUUAAUCGGGGCAGGGUGAGUCGACCCCUAAGGCGAGGCCGAAAGGCGUAGUCGAUGGGAAACAGGUUAAUAUUCCUGUACUUGGUGUUACUGCGAAGGGGGGACGGAGAAGGCUAUGUCAGCCGGGCGACGGUUGUCCCGGUUUAAGCAUGUAGGCGGAGGUUCCAGGUAAAUCCGGUACCUUAUUAACGCUGAGGUGUGAUGACGAGGCACUACGGUGCUGAAGUGAUAAAUGCCCUGCUUCCAGGAAAAGCCUCUAAGCAUCAGGUAACACGAAAUCGUACCCCAAACCGACACAGGUGGUCAGGUAGAGAAUACCAAGGCGCUUGAGAGAACUCGGGUGAAGGAACUAGGCAAAAUGGUGCCGUAACUUCGGGAGAAGGCACGCUGAUAGGUAGGUGAAGCCCCUGCGGGCGGAGCUGAAAUCAGUCGAAGAUACCAGCUGGCUGCAACUGUUUAUUAAAAACACAGCACUGUGCAAACACGAAAGUGGACGUAUACGGUGUGACGCCUGCCCGGUGCCGGAAGGUUAAUUGAUGGGGUUAGCGGCAACGCGAAGCUCUUGAUCGAAGCCCCGGUAAACGGCGGCCGUAACUAUAACGGUCCUAAGGUAGCGAAAUUCCUUGUCGGGUAAGUUCCGACCUGCACGAAUGGCGUAAUGAUGGCCAGGCUGUCUCCACCCGAGACUCAGUGAAAUUGAACUCGCUGUGAAGAUGCAGUGUACCCGCGGCAAGACGGAAAGACCCCGUGAACCUUUACUAUAGCUUGACACUGAACACUGGUCCUUGAUGUGUAGGAUAGGUGGGAGGCUUUGAAGCGUGGACGCCAGUCUGCGUGGAGCCGUCCUUGAAAUACCACCCUUUAAUGGCUGGUGUUCUAACGUAGACCCGUGAUCCGGGUUGCGGACAGUGUCUGGUGGGUAGUUUGACUGGGGCGGUCUCCUCCCAAAGAGUAACGGAGGAGCACGAAGGUUGGCUAAUCCUGGUCGGACAUCAGGAGGUUAGUGCAAUGGCAUAAGCCAGCUUGACUGCGAGCGUGACGGCGCGAGCAGGUGCGAAAGCAGGUCAUAGUGAUCCGGUGGUUCUGAAUGGAAGGGCCAUCGCUCAACGGAUAAAAGGUACUCCGGGGAUAACAGGCUGAUACCGCCCAAGAGUUCAUAUCGACGGCGGUGUUUGGCACCUCGAUGUCGGCUCAUCACAUCCUGGGGCUGAAGUAGGUCCCAAGGGUAUGGCUGUUCGCCAUUUAAAGUGGUACGCGAGCUGGGUUUAGAACGUCGUGAGACAGUUCGGUCCCUAUCUGCCGUGGGCGCUGGAGAAUUGAGGGGGGCUGCUCCUAGUACGAGAGGACCGGAGUGGACGCAUCACUGGUGUUCGGGUUGUCAUGCCAAUGGCACUGCCCGGUAGCUAAAUGCGGAAGAGAUAAGUGCUGAAAGCAUCUAAGCACGAAACUUGCCCCGAGAUGAGUUCUCCCUGAGACUUUAAGUCUCCUGAAGGAACGUUGAAGACGACGACGUUGAUAGGUCGGGUGUGUAAGCGCAGCGAUGCGUUGAGCUAACCGAUACUAAUGAACCGUGAGGCUUAACCUU